rnacentral:rRNA from 1 species
UACGUAGGGGGCAAGCGUUAUCCGGAAUUAUUGGGCGUAAAGAGUGCGUAGGUGGUUUUGUAAGCGCGGGGUGAAAGGCAAUGGCUCAACUAUUGUAAGCCCUGCGAACUGUGAGACUUGAGUGCAGGAGAGGAAAGUGGAAUUCCUAGUGUAGCGGUGAAAUGCGUAGAUAUUAGGAGGAACACCAGUGGCGAAGGCGACUUUCUGGACUGUAACUGACACUGAGGCACGAAAGCGUGGGGAGCAAACAGGAUUAGAUACCC